rnacentral:rRNA from 1 species
UAGGGAAUCUUCCGCAAUGGGCGAAAGCCUGACGGAGCAACGCCGCGUGAGUGAUGAAGGUCUUCGGAUCGUAAAACUCUGUUAUUAGGGAAGAACAAAUGUGUAAGUAACUAUGCACGUCUUGACGGUACCUAACCAGAAAGCCACGUCUAACUACGUGCCAGCAGCCGCGGUAAUACGUAGGUGGCAAGCGUUAUCCGGAAUUAUUGGGCGUAAAGCGCGCGUAGGCGGUUUGUUAAGUCUGAUGUGAAAGCCCACGGCUCAACCGUGGAGGGUCAUUGGAAACUGGAAUACUUGAGUGCAGAAGAGGAAAGUGGAAUUCCAUGUGUAGCGGUGAAAUGCGCAGAGAUAUGGAGGAACACCAGUGGCGAAGGCGACUUUCUGGUCUGUAACUGACGCUGAUGUGCGAAAGCGUGGGGAUCAAACAGG